rnacentral:lncRNA from 1 species
CUCCUUUCCCCCAGUAGCUGGGAGGAACCUUGAGGGCCAGGCUAGGAAGGGAGGGAAGGUGGGGGCGGUAGAGGCGGAGGCUGAGCAGGACCAAGACCAGGACUAGGACCAGGGAGAGGACACGGAGAUGGGUGGGGUGAGAUCGAGGGGAGGACCCAGGAGGCGGCGGCGCAUAGGAGGGGCGCUGCAGCCAAGCCACCAGACUAGCUGUAGAGUGCUGUACUCCACAUACUCCUGGAGAUCCAGCCCCUCAGAUCGCGCAUCCCCGCCGCCGUUCGCCUUUCGGCAUCCUAAACUUGAGCAGUAGCUCGGUUUCAACCGAUCGACUGCUUGCUUCAAAUCAGACAGCAUCGCGACCCAGACACCGGAGUCCGCCGAGUGAAAGCACAACGCAGAGUAGGACAAGACCAAGAAAACAGCCACGCGAAGCAGCAACUCUAGGUUGGGAGUGCAGAAGCCAACAAACCUUCUUCGGUUGCACUGGGCUUCCUUUUAUCCGGGUACGAGCCACAUCCCUGGGGAAUAUGCAGCGCGCGUGGAUCCUGCUCACCUUGGGCUUGAUGGCCUGUGUGUCCGCAGAGACGGUGAGUGGGCCCAGCCGGGGAAGUGCACUGUUAAGAGUGCCCAGGCAAAUAGAAGAGCCAGAGGGUAAUUGGGGAGUGCUACCUGGGGGAUCUGCCAAGCCUGAACGUGGGUCUGCCUAGGAUCUACUGAAACAAAUGAGCUUGCUUUUCAACCACUUGCCCCUGGGCUCUUCCUUUUCCCUCUUGCACAAUUGAGCUGCUACAGGGAGUUACCCAAGCCAUGUCUUCAGGGGGUGGGAGCACAAGACUUGGAGGUUAGGGACCCCAAAGGUCCUUAAAGUCACUUUCAACUUUCUGCCUUGGGGGAUUUUAUGGUGUAGUCUAGGAAGGGCUAAAAGUUGCAGGUUAUUAGAGCACCACUGCGGGCCAGGAAAGGAUCCAGUAAGCUCUGUGUACUGGACAAACCCCAGGGAUGAGUUGGAAACUUUGGGGAGGAUCUGUUCCUCUGCACACCAUCCCCCUACUCCAGGCUUUGAGCUUGACUGAAGGCAAGUUUAGGGAGAUAGGGUCCAUAUUAAAGAAACCAAGAGUAACAGGAGAGGAAGUUUCUAAAAGUUCAUUUGUUUAAUGCUCCCUGUGGCUGUGGCAAGGCGCCCACAUUAAGUAGAGAUGCAGUCCAUGGUCUAUUCUGAGGCUCCUGGCCUCAUGGAGCAUUUGGGAACAGGCCUGGGAUCUCUGGUUUCUGUGAUCUUCCAGGAACCCUCCGAGUAGAGCGAAACCCCUGGCUGUAGAAGAGAGAUGUAAUUUCUCAAGAUUUAAAGAUGAGGGUGCUUGUGGCAUUGCUUUGGCCCUCAGAUCCUCCGGCUGCUGGGGGGAAUGUAGAUUUUUGUCCUGCCAACCUCAUACUCCUUUGGAUCCCAUAUUCCCAUGAAACUGUCUUCUUCCACUACUAGCUUAGGCUCAUGACUAGUGUGCCAGCCCCUAUCUAGGCCACUACAGCUCUAUUUUGGCAGGUGGAAGUCCAAGCAGCUUCUAUUGACAUGCAGUCCCAGGGCUGCAGGCUCAAUUAGGGAGUCCUCCUCUUUUCUUUACUCUUGUUUCCUAUGCCAUUCGUUUGGCAUCCAGUAAGUUGCCCGAUUUGAAUUAAUAAAAAAGCCUUUAGCUGGGUUGGAUAAUCUCCC